GAUCCCUUAGCUCAGUGGUAGAGCGUGUGAUUCCAGUUUUCGGGAGUCCACAAGGCCAAGCGUUCAACUCGCUUAGGGAUCA